UACGGAGGGUGCGAGCGUUGUCCGGAAUCACUGGGCGUAAAGGGCGCGUAGGCGGCCUGAUAAGUAGGGGGGUGAAAUCCUGCGGCUUAACCGCAGGGCUGCCUUCUAAACUGUCAGGCUCGAGCACAGUAGAGGCAGGUGGAAUUCCCGGUGUAGCGGUGGAAUGCGUAGAGAUCGGGAAGAACAUCAGUGGCGAAGGCGGCUCUCUGGGACGGUACUGACGCUGAGACGCGAAAGCGUGGGGAGCGAACAGG
rnacentral:rRNA from 1 species